AGAAACGAUGAGUCGACGGAACGGCUGCACCAUCUACGUGGGCAAUCUCCCCGAAGACAUCCGGGAGAGGGAAAUCGAGGAUCUCUUCUACAAGUAUGGCCCUAUCGUGGACAUCGACUUGAAAAUUCCUCCAAGGCCUCCUGUUUUUGCUUUUGUUGAGUUUGAAGACCCACGUGAUGCUGACGAUGCGAUUUAUGGCCGUGAUGGAUAUGAUUUCGAUGGCCAGAGGUUGCGGGUGGAGUUAGCUCACGGUGGAAGAGGCGCUUCUUUUGAUCGAUCAAGCAGCUAUGGCAGUUCUGGACGCCGUGGUGCAGCUAGACGUUCUGAUUACCGUGUUAUGGUUACUGGAUUACCUUCUUCCGCAUCAUGGCAAGAUCUCAAGGAUCAUAUGCGGCGAGCUGGUGAUGUCUGUUUCUCUGAUGUUUAUCGUGAGGCUGGAGCAAUUACUGGAAUAGUUGAAUAUACCAAUUAUGAAGAUAUGAAACAUGCGAUAAGGAAGCUUGAUGAUUCAGAGUUCCGUAAUGCGUUUUCACGAUCGUAUAUCAGGGUGAGGGAGUACAAUACUAAGCGUAGCCGCUCUUACUCCAGAAGCAGAAGCCCCAGCUGCUCGUACUCGAGAAGCAGAAGUCGCAGUUAUAGCAGGAGUCCAAGAGCUGCUUCUCGGUCUCCGUCACCUGUUAAAGCAAGGUAUGACCAGUUUCAUUCCGGUAGGGAGUGUAUUGAAGUUUGACAACGCUAGCUAUCUGCAUCUUUGGUACCGAGAAAGCACACACUAAGGAAAUGAUGCUAUCAGGUUCUUACUGUUUUGUUCAGUAAGUAUUUUGAAUGAUCUGAUGAGCUUGUGUUGUCCCAACUAAGGAACUACAAUGAAAAGAGCUGUUAACAAGAAGUAAAAAUGACCCGCAAAAUCAAAAGAAAAAAGGCCUUUACCUUUUAACUUCUAGAAUUCUGUUCUGGUUUGCUCCGUGUCUUACGUUUGCUGUACAUUGUUUUUCCCAACACGGCCUUUUGAGAUGGCAACUGGACUACAACCAGCGCUAGGAGGGCUGGCACUAAGCAUGUAUGCUAUGGAUUUUGUGGUAUAUUGGUCAUCAUCAAGAUCCCUAUCACCUGCCGCUCCCCCUCACGACAAGUCUGCGAGCAGGAGCCCCACCAGGAGCAGAAGUUUGUCCCCAUCUAAGUCUCCUGUGAAAUCUGAC